CUUGGCUACUGUUGGCUGCGGGAGCUUGUCCCUGUGCAGCGUGGCUGGCCCCAGAGCCGUCUGGAGGGCAAGGCAGGCUGGUCACUGAGGCUGCCAGGCUGUAUAGUCCGAAGCAAAGGAGAACUGUCACCUAGACCUGGACUGGGGGGAAGAACCAGCAUGGUGAGGACGGUACAGGGUGUGAGGAUUGUGGUAGAAGCCUUGUAGGAGAAUGCAAACUCCACGGACCACUCAUCAGGGCUAAAGAUAGGGUUAUUCCCAGCCGAGCCCGUCUCACCCUACCUCACUACCUCACUUUGCGAGUGUUGGAGCUGCGAGCUGGAAACCAGCAGAUCCUUGGUGUAUUUGCAAAGAAAGUAAUACAGAAGAGAACACAGUUUGGUCCUUAUGUUGGUCAACUGUCUACAAAACUGACCUGCUAUGAUGAGAGCAGGCUAGUCCUGCAGGUAUUGAAAGAUGGAGGGAAGUACUUUCUGGACACUCCCA
rnacentral:lncRNA from 1 species